rnacentral:rRNA from 1 species
UACGGGGGGGGCAAGCGUUGUUCGGAAUUACUGGGCGUAAAGGGCUCGUAGGUGGCCAACUAAGUCAGACGUGAAAUCCCCAGGCUCAACCUGGGAACUGCGUCUGAUACUGGAUGGCUUGAAUUCGGGAGAGGGAUGCAGAAUUCCAGGUGUAGCGGUGAAAUGCGUAGAUAUCUGGAGGAACACCGGUGGCGAAGGCGGCAUCCUGGACCGGUAUUGACGCUGAGGCGCGAAAGCUAGGGGAGCAAACGGG